GCCUCCCAAGCAGCAGCUUAAACUACAUCAUAAUGCCCACCCCUCAACAUUCUUUGCUGUGUUUCUUUUUGCUAAAUAUGACAACCGUAGUUGGGGGUCAGCUCAAGACCCCUGCAGUUACCACUGCUUUGCGUAGCCACUGGCUUGAAGUCACCCGAGAUGAACGAGCCCUACCUGGAAAGCCAAGAUAGACCCAGUGGUGCUAAGUACUGGAGAUCAGCACCUUUCAAACCUUAAUGGGGCAUCAAUCACCUGAGCGCUUUGUUCAAAUUUGUUGUGGAUUCCUUAGAUCUGCAUAGGGACCCCGGAUGCUGUAUUUCUAACUGAUGAUGCUAAAGCUGCCAGCCCAUGGACAACACUCUGAAUAGCAAAAACCCAGGUGGCGUGGACAGUGAGAGAGACAGAGAAAGAUCUUCCUUUUGCCAUUGGUUCACCCUCCAAUGGCCACCGCGGCCAGUGCGCUGUGGCUGGUGCACCACGCUGAUCCGAAGGCAGGAGCCAGGUGCUUCUCCUGGUCUCCCAUGUGGGUGCAGGGCCCAAGAACUUGGGCCAUCCUCCACUGCACUCCUGGAAGAGGGGCAACCAGGACAGAAUCCGGCACCCCUACCGGGACUAGAACCCGGUAUGCCGGCACCGCAGGUGGAGGACUAGCUAUUGAGCCGCGGUGCUGGUCCCUAUACUUACUUGUAUAGAUUAUAUCUGUACACCAUUGUCUACAUGUUUUCUUUUUCCUCCUAUUGUGCCAUUUGUAUGUUGCCUUUAUGAUAGUGCCUCGAUAUUUAAAUGCACUUAUAUGUUUUUAAAUAGCUAAUUUAGGAAUGUUUUAUUCCUAUCUGGGUUUUGUGUCAAACUUGCAAAGUCUUUUUGUUUAGUAUUCCUACAAAUAAUUUUUUCAUUCAAAUCUGAUCUAUCUGGAAAUUAUUUUGGUGUAUGAUGUUUGUUUUUUUUUCUAGCUGGCCACCACUUUGAACAUUAUUUGUUCAAUAGUAUGUUCUUCUAAAAAUUUAUUAAAUUUCUUAUUUUGAUAUGUAUCUGACUUUCCAUUCUA